rnacentral:rRNA from 1 species
UACGAAGGGGGCUAGCGUUGCUCGGAUUUACUGGGCGUAAAGCGCGCGUAGGCGGAUCUUUAAGUUAGAGGUGAAAUCCCGGGGCUCAACCUCGGAACUGCCUUUAAUACUGGGGAUCUGGAGCAGAGUAGAGGUAAGUGGAAUUCCGAGUGUAGAGGUGAAAUUCGUAGAUAUUCGGAGGAACACCAGUGGCGAAGGCGACUUACUGGACUCUUGCUGACGCUGAGGCGCGAAAGCGUGGGGAGCAAACAGG